rnacentral:rRNA from 1 species
UACUAGAGUAGCACUCGCAUAUCAAUAAGCGGAGGAAAAGAAACUAACAAGGAUUCCCCUAGUAACGGCGAGUGAAGCGGGAAGAGCUCAAAUUUGAAAUCUUAAGGGUUUCCCUUUACGAAUUGUAGUUUAAAGAAGUGUUUUCUGUUGAGGUUUUGGUAAAAGUUCUUUGGAAUAGGACAUCAUAGAGGGUGAGAAUCCCGUAUUUGACCUUUACUUUCAACUUUGUGAUACACUUUCAAAGAGUCGGAUUGUUUGGGAAUGCAGUCCAAAAUGGGUGGUAAAUUUCAUCUAAAGCUAAAUAUUGGCGAGAGACCGAUAGCGAACAAGUACCGUGAGGGAAAGAGGAAAAGAACUUUGAAAAGAGAGUUAAACAGUACGUGAAAUUGUCAAAAGGGAAGCGUUUGACACCAGUGUUGUUUUUCUGUAAAUCAAUUAAAGAACUGUUUAUGCUAAGUUGUUUAGACUUUAUCAGCUAAUCUGCUUAGUUUUGAGCUUUUCUUUAAUGCACUUUUCAGUUAACAAGUCAACAUCAAUUUCUUUUGCUGUAAAAAAGCUUGAGGAAGGUGGCUUGAGAUUCGUCUUAAGUGUUUAUAGCCUCUUGCCUAUGCAGUCGGAGAGAUUGAGGUCUGCAGCGUAGAUCCUUCGGGGCUAAAUGCAUUUGUGCUAAGUUAUAACAUUUUAUAGACAACUUGUUGACUAUGAUUUGUCUUGUAGCUUACUCGCUUAUGUUAUUUUACCUACGCUUAGGAUGUUGAGUAGCGACAUACGCAC